rnacentral:rRNA from 1 species
GAUGAACGCUAGCUACAGGCUUAACACAUGCAAGUCGAGGGGCAGCGCAGUGUAGCAAUACAUGGGCGGCGACCGGCGCACGGGUGCGUAACGCGUAUCCAACCUUCCCGUUACUCAGGGAUAGCCUUCCGAAAGGGAGAUUAAUACCUGAUGGUGUUCAAAUUCCGCAUGUUAUUUGAACUAAAGAUUUAUCGGUAACGGAUGGGGAUGCGUGACAUUAGGUAGAUGGCGGGGUAACGGCCCACCAUGCCCACGAUGUCUAGGGGUUCUGAGAGGAAGGUCCCCCACACUGGAACUGAGACACGGUCCAGACUCCUACGGGAGGCAGCAGUGAGGAAUAUUGGUCAAUGGCCGGAAGGCUGAACCAGCCAAGUAGCGUGAAGGAUGAAGGUUCUAUGGAUUGUAAACUUCUUUUAUACGGGAAUAAAACCUCCCACGUGUGGGAGCUUGUAUGUACCGUAUGAAUAAGCAUCGGCUAACUCCGUGCCAGCAGCCG